CUCAAUCUGAUUGGCCCUCGAGCUGUGGAUGUGCUGUCUGAGUUGUCCUAUGCCCCUAUGACUCCAGACCACUUCCCCAGCCUCUUUUGCAAGAAAACCGUAAUUCAGGAGUGAACAGCACCCUCUAUAAGGUGUCACAGGAGCAGCCUGAAAUCCAUUAGGCAGUCAUUCUGAAGCUGUGGUGAAAUCGAAGGGAAGCUAAUGUUGCAGCUAGGAAGAUGAGAUCCAGGCUGAGGAUCACA
rnacentral:lncRNA from 1 species